rnacentral:rRNA from 1 species
AGAGUUUGAUUAUGGCUCAGGAUGAACGCUAGCUACAGGCUUAACACAUGCAAGUCGAGGGGCAGCAUGAACUUAGCUUGCUAAGUUUGAUGGCGACCGGCGCACGGGUGAGUAACACGUAUCCAACCUUCCGUUUACUCAGGGAUAGCCUUUCGAAAGAAAGAUUAAUACCUGAUAGUAUGGUGAGAUUGCAUGAUAGCACCAUUAAAGAUUUAUUGGUAAACGAUGGGGAUGCGUUCCAUUAGGUAGUAGGCGGGGUAACGGCCCACCUAGCCGACGAUGGAUAGGGGUUCUGAGAGGAAGGUCCCCCACAUUGGAACUGAGACACGGUCCAA